rfam:Canis lupus familiaris chromosome 32, whole genome shotgun sequence.
GCCUGGGUAGCUCAGUGGUUGAGUAUCUGCCUUCGGCUCAGGGUGUGAUCCUGGAGUUCUGGGAUCGAGUCCCAGAUCGGGCU